UCCCCAGUGGUACAGUGGGUUAGUGCAUCUGGCUGUUAACCAGAAGGUUGCUGGUUUGAGCCCACCCAGGGACA